UAAUACGUAGGGAGCGAGCGUUGUCCGGAUUUACUGGGUGUAAAGGGAGCGCAGGCGGGACUUCAAGUUGGAUGUGAAAUGUCGAGGCUUAACCUCGGAACUGCAUCCAAAACUGUAGUUCUUGAGUGGAGUAGAGGCAAGCGGAAUUCCGAGUGUAGCGGUGAAAUGCGUAGAUAUUCGGAGGAACACCAGUGGCGAAGGCGGCUUGCUGGGCUCUAACUGACGCUGAGGCUCGAAAGUGUGGGGAGCAAACAGGAUUAGAUACCCUGGUAGUCCACGCCGUAAACGAUGGAUACUAGGUGUGGGGGGACUGACCCCUUCCGUGCCGCAGUUAACACAAUAAGUAUCCCACCUGGGGAGUACGAUCGCCAAGAUUGAAACUCAAAGGAAUUGACGGGGGCCCGCCACAAACAGUGGAUUAUGUGGUUCUAAUUCCGACGCAACAGCGAAAACCUCUUAACCGCG
rnacentral:rRNA from 1 species